GUGUCAGCCGCCGCGGUAAUACGUAGGGGGCGAGCGUUGUCCGGAAUUAUUGGGCGUAAAGGGCGCGCAGGCGGUUUCUUAAGUCUGAUGUGAAAUCUCGUGGCUUAACCGCGAGCGGUCGUUGGAAACUGGGAAACUUGAGUACAGAAGAGGAGAGUGGAAUUCCACGUGUAGCGGUGAAAUGCGUAGAGAUGUGGAGGAACACCAGUGGCGAAGGCGGCUCUCUGGUCUGUAACUGACGCUGAGGUGCGAAAGCGUGGGGAGCAAACAGGAUUAGAUACCCCCGUAGUCC
rnacentral:rRNA from 1 species